GACGAACGCUGGCGGCGUGCCUAAAACAUGCAAGUCGAACGAGGAGCCUUCGGGCUUUUAGUGGCGAACGGCGGAGUAAUACAUGGGCAACGUGCCCCGGAGUCCGGGAUAUACGGCCGAAAGGCCGGGCAAUACCGGAUGUGGCUGAUGAGAGGCAUCUUUUAUCAGUUGAAGGGAUUUAUCCCGCUCCGGGAGCGGCCCAUGGCCUAUCAGGUAGUUGGUGGGGUGAUAGCCUACCAAGCCGACGACGGGUAGCGGGUCUGAGAGGAUGAUCCGC
rnacentral:rRNA from 1 species